rnacentral:rRNA from 1 species
CCUACGGGUGGCAGUAGUGAGGAAUAUUGGUCAAUGGACGAGAGUCUGAACCAGCCAAGUAGCGUGAAGGAUGACUGCCCUAUGGGUUGUAAACUUCUUUUAUAUGGGAAUAAAAUGUUCCACGUGUGGGAUUUUGUAUGUACCAUAUGAAUAAGGAUCGGCUAACUCCGUGCCAGCAGCCGCGGUAAUACGGAGGAUCCGAGCGUUAUCCGGAUUUAUUGGGUUUAAAGGGAGCGUAGGUUGAUUGUUAAGUCAGUUGUGAAAGUUUGCGGCUCAACCGUAAAAUUGCAGUUGAAACUGGCAGUCUUGAGUACAGUAGAGGUGGGCGGAAUGCGUGGUGUAGCGGUGAAAUGCUGAGAUAUCACGAAGAACUCCGAUUGCGAAGGCAGUUCACUGGACUGCAACUGACACUGAGGCUCGAAAGUGUGGGUAUCAAACAGGAUUAGAUACCCGAGUAGUC